rnacentral:rRNA from 1 species
UACGUAGGGUGCGAGCGUUGUCCGGAAUUAUUGGGCGUAAAGAGCUCGUAGGCGGUCUGUCGCGUCGAUCGUGAAAACUUGGGGCUUAACCCUGAGCUUGCGGUCGAUACGGGCAUGACUGGAGUUCGGCAGGGGAGACUGGAAUUCCUGGUGUAGCGGUGAAAUGCGCAGAUAUCAGGAGGAACACCGGUGGCGAAGGCGGGUCUCUGGCCGAUACUGACGCUGAGGAGCGAAAGCGUGGGGAGCGAACAGG